rnacentral:tRNA from 2 species
ACUUAAAUAGCUUAAGAAUUAGAGCAUAGUAUUGAAGCUACUAAGGAGAUUAUUAUAAUCUUUAAGUA